AUUCGCCGUAAGAUUUCUUGCGUGAGCGUGAGUCUGAAAGCGUGAGUGUCACGUCAGAUGCGUCAGUUGGCAACCUUGCGAAUCACACCAAAAUCGGAAGAAUUAUUGUUAAACGAGUCUUUUAUACUUAAAGAAUUGAUCUAACUUUAAUUAUAAAGAAUCUACAUAGACACGUGUUUUAAAAUAGAAUAUAUGUGCGCUUGAUCGUGAUUAGUUACAAGCAAAUCGCGGUUGUAACUAAAAACUCUUAAUCGAUAUACAACACAAGUGUGUGUGUGAGAGAGAUUGCGUAUGUGCGCGCGCAUGUGUAUUUUGAUACUUUCGAGUCGUUUUGGGCAAAACCUAAACUUGUCAUUAUAAAACAGCGAAAAAUAGAGUCAAGUUGUGUGAGUCACGUUUUAAAAGAGCCCGGGUACAAAACGAAAGCUGCUAUUUGAGAGGCAGCUGAGCUUCGAGAUGUUUAACAGUAACCAAACCAGGCGCAGCGCGCCGACAUCCCGAGCUCGCCGUCAACUAUAAUCAUUUAGCCUACAAGUUUGCUUCCGUUUUGUUUUGUUUGUUACUGGUCGAUACUCAAAGAAAUAAAGUUUUUACUGCGAAGAUCGUGGAGUGGGAGCGCCCGGACGUGCAUUUGGACCCAGCACUAAGGGGCGGCCAGUGGACGCAGCAACCACCACCAGUGCAAUGAGAGUUGAAAGUCGGGCUAUAAGGUGAACCCUCGGCGGUUGUGUUUGAGAAGCAAACCGCCGCGACAUGGUCGUCGUGCCGGAGGAGUACACCUUCGAGGGAACGUUAAGCAACGGGGGAGCCAGAUUCUGAGUGAUGGAGCUGGGCUCUGUGGUCCGGGCCAUCUUCGAUUUCCGCCCCAGCGUGUCAGAGGAGCUGCCCCUCUUUACUGGCGAUGUCAUCGAGGUGCUGAGUGUGGUGGAUGACUUCUGGUUGCUAGGCAACAAGGAUGGCGU